GAGGGGCCCGCGUCCGAUUAGCUAGUUGGUGGGGUAACGGCUCACCAAGGCUUCGAUCGGUAUCCGGCCUGAGAGGGCGGACGGACACACUGGGACUGAGACACGGCCCAGACUCCUACGGGAGGCAGCAGUGGGGAAUUGUUCGCAAUGGGCGCAAGCCUGACGACGCAACGCCGCGUGGAGGAUGAAGACCUUCGGGUCGUAAACUCCUUUCGAUCGAGACGAACGGCCCUUGGGUUAACAACCUGAGGGAGUGACGGUACCGAGAGAAGAAGCCCCGGCUAACUACGUGCCAGCAGCCGCGGUAAUACGUAGGGGGCUAGCGUUGUCCGGAUUUAUUGGGCGUAAAGAGCGCGUAGGCGGCCGUGUAAGUCCGACGUGAAAUCUGGAGGCUCAACCUCCAGCGGUCGUUGGAAACUACACGGCUAAAGUCCGGAAGAGGAGAGUGGAAUUCCUGGUGUAGCGGUGAAAUGCGCAGAUAUCAGGAAGAACACCGAUGGCGAAAGCAGCUCUCUGGGACGGUACUGACGCUGAGGCGCGAAAGCGUGGGGAGCGAACAGGAUUAGAUACCCUGGUAGUCCACGCCGUAAACGAUGGGUGCUAGGUGU
rnacentral:rRNA from 1 species